UUCCCCUGUCCAGCCCCAGCUUCGAUCUCAGCCGCGCCAACUUCGGGAGGCUGUGGACUGGAAGAGGAGUACGGGGAGGAGCCCCGCGGAGCCUGGCGGAUCAGCAACUGCAGUCCCACCACCAAGACCACCGCCAGACGGGGAAAAGGGGCGGAGCCGAGAGAGAAAGGUAGAGGAAGUGGUUGUGAUAACGUCGAUGCCCUUAGGGAAGGGUACAAACGGAGGAACCAGGUAGGGGCAGUCAGGGCUGGGUUAGGCCCGGGUUCGGGGGCUCUGAGAUUUGACUUCCCCAAAUUCUCACCGAACCGGAAAAGCCAGAGUAGUCCCGAUGCGAGAACUGCCUGGGGCCCGGGAAUGGGAGACACGAGAGAGACGAGGGCCGUUGUGGGAGCUGCCCUGCGAUACUGGGUAAUAGGGAUCGUCCCGAAGGUGGAGGAGGGAUGUGUCAGUUGUUAUCCCAGAAACUCCCCCAACUCUUCCCUUUCCUUUCCAGGCGCUGAUGCUCUCUUCAAGCUGAUCCUCCCCCCAGUCGUAUAUAACUUAAAUUUAACCCAAGGUUCUCUCCAUCCCCUCAACCCGUUUCUUAGGGGAAGCGAAGGCAAGCAUCUAGCCGUUUGUUUUCAAAGUUUAUUCAACGGAUUCCCCCCCAGCCUGGCUGCCUGCGUGCAAACAUCCCAACCCAUCAAGCCUUCUGACACAGAGGUUCUCGGGAGGCUUGGAACAUCGGAACGGGGUCCCGGAAGGGACCUGAGCAAUCUCUUCAGCCCUCUUAUUUUACAGAUGAGGAAACUGAGGUCCAGAGAGAGGAAGGAGCGUGUCAAGGUCACAGAACUAGUUGGUGACAGAGUGGUGCUGGAGCUCAGAUUCACUGACUCAUCCUUUCUACUCUAUCAGGCCACACAGGAUUUUCCGGGCCAGGGAGGGAACCCCUCCCUGCUCUGGGGCUGAGGGAGUUCCCCUAUGUGCUAUAGGUAGGUAGGAGCCUGGAGUCUCUAGAAUAUAAGCUUCUUGAAGACAGGAACUUUUUAAUCCCUUCUUUAUCUUUGUCUCCAACCUUAAACUUAGUCCCUCUGAGAGUAGACACUUAAAA